GUGGCGGCAAGAGAGCAACAGUGGCUGCAACAGAUGCUGUGAUUGGCAGUGUCAAUCAAGCUACACCUUCAGAGGGGAAUCGUCAUAAACAACGUGCCGGCGGAUAAGAUGAAGCCCAACAAAAAAGCCGACAAUUGUGGCCAAAGAUACGGCACAGGCCAUUUGGACUCGAGCAGGGUUGGCAAGUCGUAGUGUGAAAGGGGUUCCGGCGCCUCCCAAGAAAGGGGCUACGAGCAAAAGCGAAGCCAGCACUAACCUCAGAAAAAAAUUGAGAUAGUCGCAGCGACAGUGUCCCACUGGGGCAAGUCAAAGAGGGUCGACGUGGGAGCUGUGCUUCAGAACCUUACCUCUGUACUUACAGAGAAAAUCCAGGACAACAUGAAGGCUGAAAGCAGAUUGAUGAGCAGCAAUGCUAACUAGAAUGCCUGA